rnacentral:lncRNA from 1 species
UCAUUGGCCGUAACUCUGCAACUCAAAGAGCCGUACAAUUUAAAAAAGAAGUUACUUUUGAAAAGAAAUUGUGCAAUAAACAAGCACACUGUGUCUCAAUCCGAACCUAGCUGGUAAGGACUACAUUAAAACCUCAAUAUUCAUUCGGCCUCACUUGGACCCGUCUCAUUCAAAUACUGAUAGUUUGAAUUUUUAUGGACAAAAUAAAAACAAAUAACAAACAAUAGUACAUUCUACUACUACGAUUAAACAAAUA